AUUGAACGCUGGCGGCAGGCCUAACACAUGCAAGUCGAGCGGAUGAAGGGAGCUUGCUCCUGGAUUCAGCGGCGGACGGGUGAGUAAUGCCUAGGAAUCUGCCUGGUAGUGGGGUAUAACGUCCGGAAACGGGCGCUAAUACCGCAUACGUCCUGAUGGAGAAAGUGGGGGGUCUUCGGACCUCACGCUAUCAGAUGAGCCUAGGUCGGAUUAGCUAGUUUGUGGGGUAAGGGCCUACCAAGGCGACGAUCCGUAACUGGUCUGAGAGGAUGAUCAGUCACACUGGAACUGAGACACGGUCCAGAGUACUGCGGGAGGCAGCAGUGGGGAAUAUUGGACAAUGGGCGAAAGCCUGGUCCAGCCAUGCCGCGUGUGUGAAGAAGGUCUUCGGAUUGUAAAGAACUUUAAGUUGGGAGGAAGGGCAGUAAGUUAAUACCUUGCUGUUUUGACGUUACCAACAGAAUAAGCACCGGCUAACUUCGUG
rnacentral:rRNA from 1 species